AGCGCGUGCGCAGGGCAUGCGCGUUGCCUCAACCAUGGAGGGCGGGGUGUGGGCGGUGAAAUAUGGGGCCUGGGCGGUGUUGGGGCGUGGCCUCCGGAGGCGGGGCCUGUCAGCCUCCGGCGCUCGAAGACCGAGGGGAGCUGGUGAUGGGCGGUCACAAUGCUUUUCCUGGGGCGCUAGGAGCUGCAAGAUAACCUCGAUCACAGAAUGUGGAUUCCUGGUGGGCAGGACUUUCACCUCUUCUCCAUUCCUGGACAUCAGCACCUGGAAGAGUGGCUGGUACAGAAGGCACUCAACAAACAUUUGUUAAAUUAAUGAAAGUCGGGCUGCCUCGUACUA